rnacentral:siRNA from 1 species
CAACCCGGUUUUUUCGGUUCGGGU